rnacentral:lncRNA from 1 species
GCUCAGUAGAAAUGCUUACAUGACAGGAAGCCAACGGUUUUAAUAUCAAUUCAAAAUCCUUCUGUAAACUUCUCAAAACCCAUCUAGAACAUUCAAGUGACACUCUAGAAACAUCUACAACAUGCACAGUAAACCAGGGUUAGAACAUGCCAUAACAAGGCUAAUCUCAAUCAUGGGUGAUUUAACGUCAUAAGGGAUCCCUGGUCACGCCACACCCUGUCCACGGCCCCACUCAAUGCUCAACUUUGGCGGACCUCUUUCCAGCUAAAAUAGGGCGUUGGGCCUUCAAGUCAGUGUUUCGAUUAGUGGCUGUUUUCAGCCAUUUUGUCUUUUUUGAAUUAAAUGAUGGUGGCCUUCUUUAAG